AUUGAACGCUGGCGGCAUGCCUUACACAUGCAAGUCGAACGGUAACAGGUCUUCGGAUGCUGACGAGUGGCGAACGGGUGAGUAAUACAUCGGAACGUGCCUAGUAGUGGGGGAUAACUACUCGAAAGAGUGGCUAAUACCGCAUGAGAUCUACGGAUGAAAGCAGGGGAUCGCAAGACCUUGUGCUACUAGAGCGGCCGAUGGCAGAUUAGGCAGUUGGUGGGAUAAAAGCUUACCAAGCCGACGAUCUGUAGCUGGUCUGAGAGGACGAUCAGCCACACUGGGACUGAGACACGGCCCAGACUCCUACGGGAGGCAGCAGUUGGGAAUUUUGGACAAUGGGCGCAAGCCUGAUCCAGCAAUGCCGCGUGCAGGAUGAAGGCCUUCGGGUUGUAAACUGCUUUUGUACGGAACGAAAAGCCCUGGGUUAAUACCCUGGGGUCAUGACGGUACCGUAAGAAUAAGCACCGGCUAACUACGUGCCAGCCGCCGCUGUAACAC
rnacentral:rRNA from 1 species